rnacentral:rRNA from 1 species
AUACGUAGGGGGCAAGCGUUGUCCGGAUUUACUGGGUGUAAAGGGCGCGCAGGCGGGAUAAAUAGUCAGUGGUGAAAUCCUACAGCUUAACUGUAGAACUGCCUUUGAUACUUUUAUUCUUGAGUUCGGGAGAGAGAGACGGAAUUCCAGGUGUGGUGGUGAAAUACGUAGAUAUCUGGAAGAACACCAGUUGCGAAGGCGGUCUCUUGGUCCGAUACUGACGCUCAUGCACGAAAGCGUGGGGAGC